AUACGGAGGAUGCAAGCGUUAUCCGGAUUUAUUGGGUUUAAAGGGAGCGCAGGCGGAGAUGCAAGCGUGACGUCAAAUUUCGGGGCUCAACCCCGUCACGCGUCGCGAACUGCGUCCCUUGGUUGCGGGAAGGGGAGGCGGAACUCGUGGUGUAGCGGUGAAAUGCAUAGAUAUCACGAAGAACUCCGAUCGCGAAGGCAGCCUGCAGACCCGUUAACGACGCUCAUGCACGAAGUAGCGGGUAUCAAACACGAUUAGAUUCCUUGGUAGACCGCGCAGUAGACGAUGGACACCCGCGGUUUGGCCUGUAUGGCUGUGCCGCCAAGCGAAAGCAUUAAGUGUCCCACCUGGGGAGUACGCCGGCAACGUUGAAACUCAAAUGAAUUGACGGGG
rnacentral:rRNA from 1 species